rnacentral:rRNA from 1 species
GACGAACGCUGGCGGCGUGCCUAAUACAUGCAAGUCGAGCGGGGAUUAUGCUUGAUCGCUUCGGUGAGACGGCAUAUAUCCUAGCGGCGGACGGGUGAGUAACGCGUGGGUAAUCUACCUCGUAGUUCGGGAUAACAGGCCGAAAGGCUUGCUAAUACCGGAUGAGUUCAUGCUUAUGCAUAUAGGCAUGAAGAAAGGGCUAGCCCGUAUGAGAUGAGCCCGCGUCCCAUUAGCUUGUUGGUGGGGUAAUGGCCUACCAAGGCAACGAUGGGUAGCCGGCCUGAGAGGGUGUACGGCCACACUGGGACUGAGACACGGCCCAGACUCCGUACGGGGGGCAGCAGUAGGGAAUUUUCGGCAAGUGGGCGAAAGCCUGACCGAGCGACGCCGCGUGAGGGACGAAGGCCUUCGGGUGUAAACCUCUGUCGUGGGGGAGUGAGAACGGACGGUACCCCGGAGGAACGCCCGGCUACGUACGUCGCCAGCAGCCGACGGUAAAAGUACGUCUAUCUGAC